UUCCGGUUGAUCCUGCCAGAGGUCACUGCUAUCAGUGUUCGACUAAGCCAUGCGAGUCAAAUGUUCUUCGUGAACAUGGCGUACUGCUCAGUAACACGUGGAUAAUCUGCCCUAAGGUCUGGCAUAACACCGGGAAACUGAUGAUAAUUCCAGAUGGACCAUGGAUACUGGAAUGUUCUGUGGUCAAAAGCUCCGGCGCCUUAGGAUGAAUCUGCGGCCUAUCAGGUUGUAGUGGGUGUAACGUACCUACUAGCCGACGACGGGUACGGGUUGUGGGAGCAAGAGCCCGGAGAUGGAUUCUGAGACAUGAAUCCAGGCCCUACGGGGCGCAGCAGGCGCGAAAACUUUACAAUGCGGGAAACCGCGAUAAGGGGACACUGAGUGCCAGCAUCUUAUGUUGGCUGUCCACAUGUAUAAAUAGCAUGUGUUAGCAAGGGCCGGGCAAGACCGGUGCCAGCCGCCGCGGUAACACCGGCGGCCCGAGUGGUGGCCACUAUUAUUGGGUCUAAAGGGUCCGUAGCCGGUUUGAUCAGUCUUCCGGGAAAUCUGACAGCUCAACUGUUAGGCUUCCGGGGGAUACUGUCAGGCUUGGGACCGGGAGAGGUAAGAGGUACUACAGGGGUAGGAGUGAAAUCUUGUAAUCCCUGUGGGACCACCAGUGGCGAAGGCGUCUUACCAGAACGGGUCCGACGGUGAGGGACGAAAGCUGGGGGCACGAACCGGAUUAGAUACCCGGGUAGUCCCAGCCGUAAACGAUGCUCGCUAGGUGUCUGGGAUGGUGCGACCGUUUCAGGUGCCGCAGGGAAGCCGUGAAGCGAGCCACCUGGGAAGUACGGCCGCAAGGCUGAAACUUAAAGGAAUUGGCGGGGGAGCAC
rnacentral:rRNA from 1 species